UUAGGAAUUUUGGGCAAUGGGCGCAAGCCUGACCCAGCAACGCCGCGUGGGCGACGAAGCCCUUCGGGGUGUAAAGCCCUUUUCCACGGGACGAAUCUGACGGUACCGUGGGAAUAAGCCCCGGCUAACUACGUGCCAGCAGCCGCGGUAAUACGUAGGGGGCGAGCGUUGUCCGGAUUCAUUGGGCGUAAAGCGCGCGCAGGCGGUUGGCAGAGCCCGGCGUGAAAGCCCCCAGCUCAACUGGGGGAGGCCGUCGGAGACCUGUCGACUUGAGGCCGGUAGGGGAGAGCGGAAUUCCCGGUGUAGUGGUGGAAUGCGUAGAUAUCGGGAGGAACACCAGUGGCGAAGGCGGCUCUCUGGACCGGUACUGACGCUCAGGCGCGAAAGCGUGGGGAGCGAUCCGG
rnacentral:rRNA from 1 species